AUUGAACGCUGGCGGCAGGCCUAACACAUGCAAGUCGAGCGGUUGAGGGGAGCUUGCUCCCUGAUUCAGCGGCGGACGGGUGAGUAAUGCCUAGGAAUCUGCCUAUUAGUGGGGGACAACGUUUCGAAAGGAACGCUAAUACCGCAUACGUCCUACGGGAGAAAGCAGGGGACCUUCGGGCCUUGCGCUAAUAGAUGCGCCUAGGUCGGAUUAGCUUGUUGGUGAGGUAAUGGCUCACCAAGGCGACGAUCCGUAACUGGUCUGAGAGGAUGAUCAGUCACACUGGAACUGAGACACGGUCCAGACUCCUACGGGAGGCAGCAGUGGGGAAUAUUGGACAAUGGGCGAAAGCCUGAUCCAGCCAUGCCGCGUGUGUGAAGAAGGUCUUCGGAUUGUAAAGCACUUUAAGUUGGGAGGAAGGGUUGUAGAUUAAUACUCUGCAAUUUUGACGUUACCGACAGAAUAAGCACCGGCUAACUCUGUGCCAGCCGCCGCGGUAAGAC
rnacentral:rRNA from 1 species